ensembl:misc_RNA
CCCUCAUGACGAUUGCACCUGUCAGUUGCAUGGAGCUUCAUUCAAGGAUUUUCUGAGCCCGAUGGAUUUACAAUGAUACUCAACCACCUGGGGAA